rnacentral:rRNA from 1 species
UCGAGGAUCUUCGGCAAUGGGCGCAAGCCUGACCGAGCGACGCCGCGUGCGGGAUGAAGGCCUCGGGUUGUAAACCGCCGUCGGAGUGGAGGAAAUUCCAUGGGGUACUCUUCAUGGAUUGACUAAUACUCAGAGGAAGGACGGGCUAAGUACGUGCCAGCAGCCGCGGUAAUACGUACCGUCCAAACGUUAUUCGGAAUCACUGGGCUUAAAGGGUGCGUAGGCGGCUCAGAAAGUAGGGUGUGAAAGCCCUCGGCUCAACCGAGGAAUUGCGCCCUAAACUACUGGCUGAGAACGCAGAGGUAAGCGGAACUUACGGUGGAGCGGUGAAAUGCGUUGAUAUCGUAAGGAACACCAGGAGCGAAAGCGGCUUACUGGGCGUUUUCUGACGCUGAGGCACGAAAGCUAGGGGAGCGAACGGGA